ACAUCAAGCAGCUCGCACCAGAGACGGAAACUUCGGCACUUGAAUCUUUCCACAGUCUCCUUAUUCGAUUUGCACCGAAAUCUGUGGCUUUCACACCUGCUGCAAUGCAUGCAAGGUCCCUCUUGGCCGUUCUCCACUACAAUGAAAAUGCCGAUCGAGAACAGGCAACAACAAAAAAUGGUGUUCCCUGCUACAUAGGUUAUGCACCCGAAGUUCAAAAAGUGCAGGACAACCAUUUCCCCACUGAAAUUGAAAUCUACUACAGCUAUGUGCAGCACUUGAUGGAAAAAGCCACGGAGGAGUUCUCCGCACAUGGCACAGUAAAACAAGCCAUAACAAAAAACCAGAGGUCACAGCCUCCACCAAUGAGCCACAGCCUGCCACCAUACGACAAAGAAGACAUCUCUACACACCGUAGUCGAUACGGACCUGACACUGGAAGGCUUGCUGUGACUAUUUAGAUUAGCAGAAAGCCAGCAUGAGUGUGGAAGCAUAAUGCACACUUUCGAGGGCAACUGCACCCUGUGUUGGGAAUGGGCAUCAGAGAAAAAUGUUUACUAGUACAGUAAAACCUCCAAAGUCUGACACCUCCCUACCUCGGACAACUCCCCAUGUCGGACAAGAUUUCAUUGCACCGGCGGGCUCCCAUUGAAAAUACAUGGGGAUGAAAUUCUCUAUGUCGGACACCUCCCUAUCCUGGAAGUAGGACAGGGUUUUCCCUGUUAAGUCGGACAGAAGCCUGGUCAAACUAUCUAAGACAUCCAAAGAAAUUUACACAUAUACAAGUGUGUAUGUAUGCGUACACUUGUGCAUGUGUACGUCCUUUU